AUUCUAUUAGUAUAGUAGUAUAUUUAAUUUCCAAUUAAAAGGUUUAUAAAUUUAAAUAGAAUA
rnacentral:tRNA from 1 species